AGAGCACCCAGGUGCCUGCCUUGCACGACUCAGUCAAGUUCCUCUCUGUUGGACUCGGACCCUGUUGUCAAGACAAGGACCCAGGAGCUCCUGGGCUCACAGUGUGGGAGGAGUGGGCAGGUGUGGAGCUCUAGAUAGCCAAAUUGGAGAAGAAGAAGCCCUACUGGAGCCCUUCUGCCAGGUCCUGUCAGGGUGGACCCUGCAUCCUCUUCCAGAUGUCAGAAGAAGGCCCCUGGGAGUCCUGGGAAGAGAGGCCCACAGGAACAGAGGAGACUCCAGCAGCACUUUUCUUUGUGGCAGUGCCCUGAAACCCCCAUGCCAUUCUGGUGACAUGGGUUGGGGUCUCCAAACAAGUCAGGACAGAGACACUUUAUCAUUUUGUCAUCUUGGCUAUGGCAGCUUCUAGGAAUUUUGUAUAACACAGUUAUGGGCGCGGUUUACGUGAACACAGACGUGUGCUUCCUGUGGAUGCCUCGAUCUCCCUUCCAGUCCCAGCCCUCCCCCACCACACACGAUGGCCUCCACCAGUUACACAUGACCAGCUGACCAAUCAACAAGUACAGAUGCUCCUCUGCUUAAGAUAGGUCUCAUCCUGAUGAGUCCACCGAAGUGGGAAAUGCACUGAGCACCCUAACCUACCCAACACGGCAGCACGGAGCCCCUGAGAAUACGCUGUUUCCCUGGUGACCGUGGGACUGACUCCGGCUGUGGCUCGCUGUCCUUGCCAGCAUCUUGAGAGAAUAUCUUACCACACAUUGCUAACCUGGAAAAAGAUCAAAAUGUUAAACUUUGAAGUAGAGGUUCUACGGAAUGCACGUUGCUUUGGCACUAUUACAAACUUGAAAAAUCAUGUCGAAUCAUCAUGAGUUGGGUAUCAUCUAUAUUUUAUGCACAGCCUUGCUCAGCUCUGUACCUUAGUUUUGUUUUAAUAGUAGGGAUUGAGCCCAGGGGUGCUUUACCACAGAGCUACAUCCCCAGUCCUUUUUUCAUUUUGAGAAGACAGGCUCUGUCUAAGUUGUUGAGGGUCUCCCUAAGUUGCUGAGAUGGGCCUUGGACAUUCGAUCCUCCUGCUUCAGCCUCCUGAGUUACUGGGAUGACAGGUACGGGCUGCUAAGCCUGGAUUAUUCCUUGAUUUUAGUGAACUCAGUGCAAUAGUGUGUUCAUUCCAUCCCUGUGCUCCCUAAUGGACUGCUGACCACAUGUAGAUGAUAAGACCAAGCACUGUGUCAAGUAUCCUUGGUGAUAAUAGGGCUUAGCUUACGUGUUCUAGAAAUUAAAAAUAAAWAARUAAAUGGAGGAGUGAGCCA
rnacentral:lncRNA from 1 species